rnacentral:rRNA from 1 species
GAUGAACGCUGGCGGCGUGCCUAAUACAUGCAAGUCGAGCGAACAGACGAGGAGCUUGCUCCUCUGACGUUAGCGGCGGACGGGUGAGUAACACGUGGAUAACCUACCUAUAAGACUGGGAUAACUUCGGGAAACCGGAGCUAAUACCGGAUAAUAUAUUGAACCGCAUGGUUCAAUAGUGAAAGACGGUUUUGCUGUCACUUAUAGAUGGAUCCGCGCCGCAUUAGCUAGUUGGUAAGGUAACGGCUUACCAAGGCAACGAUGCGUAGCCGACCUGAGAGGGUGAUUGGGCAGACUGGAACUGAGACACGGCCCAGACUCCUACGGGAGGCAGCAGUAGGGAAUCUUCCGCAAUGGGGGAAAGCCUGACGGAGCAACGCCGCGUGAGUGAUGAAGGUCUUCGGAUCGUAAAACUCUGUUAUCAGGGAAGAACAAAUGUGUAAGUAACUAUGCACGUCUUGACGGUACCUAAUCAGAAAGCCACGGCUAACUACGUG